rnacentral:rRNA from 1 species
UGGGGAAUUUUGGACAAUGGGCGCAAGCCUGAUCCAGCCAUUCCGCGUGCAGGAUGAAGGCCCUCGGGUUGUAAACUGCUUUUGUACGGAACGAAAAGCCUUUUUCUAAUACAAGAAGGUCAUGACGGUACCGUAAGAAUAAGCACCGGCUAACUACGUGCCAGCAGCCGCGGUAAUACGUAGGGUGCGAGCGUUAAUCGGAAUUACUGGGCGUAAAGCGUGCGCAGGCGGUGAUGUAAGACAGAUGUGAAAUCCCCGGGCUCAACCUGGGACCUGCAUUUGUGACUGCAUCGCUGGAGUGCGGCAGAGGGGGAUGGAAUUCCGCGUGUAGCAGUGAAAUGCGUAGAUAUGCGGAGGAACACCGAUGGCGAAGGCAAUCCCCUGGGCCUGCACUGACGCUCAUGCACGAAAGCGUGGGGAGCAAACA